rnacentral:rRNA from 1 species
UACGGGGGGGGCAAGCGUUGUUCGGAAUUACUGGGCGUAAAGGGCGCGUAGGCGGUCUGUUAAGUUCGGUGUGAAAGCCCCCGGCUCAACCUGGGAACUGCGUCUGAUACUGGAUGGCUUGAAUCCGGGAGAGGGAUGCAGAAUUCCAGGUGUAGCGGUGAAAUGCGUAGAUAUCUGGAGGAAUACCGGUGGCGAAGGCGGCAUCCUGGACCGGCAUUGACGCUGAGGAGCGAAAGCCAGGGGAGCAAACGGG